AUACUUACCUGGCAGAGGAGACACCUUGCCCAUGAAGGAGGUUUUCUCAGGGUGAGGCUCAACCAUUNCACUUUGGCUGUGCUGAUGCCUAUGAUUUACCCAAAUGCGGGAAACCUGACCGCAUAAUUUGUGGUAGUGGGGGACUGCAUGCACGCUUUCCCAGG
rnacentral:snRNA from 1 species